rnacentral:tRNA from 1 species
GCUGUGGCUCAGUGGGAGAGCCUCUGCUUUGCAAGCAGAAGUCCCAGAUUCAAUCCCUCGCAUCACUA